AUUGAACGCUGGCGGCAGGCCUAACACAUGCAAGUCGAGCGGAUGAAGGGAGCUUGCUCCUGGAUUCAGCGGCGGACGGGUGAGUAAUGCCUAGGAAUCUGCCUGGUAGUGGGGGAUAACGUCCGGAAACGGGCGCUAAUACCGCAUACGUCCUGAGGGAGAAAGUGGGGGAUCUUCGGACCUCACGCUAUCAGAUGAGCCUAGGUCGGAUUAGCUAGUUGGUGGGGUAAAGGCCUACCAAGGCGACGAUCCGUAACUGGUCUGAGAGGAUGAUCAGUCACACUGGAACUGAGACACGGUCCAGACUCCUACGGUAGGCAGCAGUGGGCAAUAGUGGACAAUGGGCGAAAGCCUGAUCCAGCCAUGCCGCGUGUGUGAAGAAGGUCUUCGGAUUGUAAAGCACUUUAAGUUGGGAGGAAGGGCAGUAAGUUAAUACCUUGCUGUUUUGACGUUACCAACAGAAUAAGCACCGGCUAACUUCGUG
rnacentral:rRNA from 1 species